CCGUGGUCCAGGGCGCCACCCGAGCGCCCUUGGGAUCCGAGGAGGGGCGACCCGAGUUGCCUGACGCGCCGACGCGCUGGUCAGGUUCCCGGCCGGCUCCUGGUAGCUGGCGCUGGGCGUGGGCAGCUCGGCCGACGGACUGCGGUGGCGCCUGGCGCUGGAGGAGGGUGGCCGGGGCCUUGGGGCUGUCGGGGCACUUAAGAUGGAAAGCCCUGCUUUAAACCCAACCUCUUACUGUACAGAGGGAGAGACGAGGCCACAGGCUCAGAGCACAAGAACACAACAGGGGAACGUCCUGCCAGGCUGAAGACUUGAAGCUGACCUGCGCUUGGAUUUCUCCUCCUACCUCUCCCCAGACCCAGCCAAGUCACACUCACCGACCUCAACCCUACACUUACUGUGCCAGCUGCUCCAUGGAUGGUCCCCACCCAUUUGAAAAGGUUGUCGGAUUCAGGGAAGGCAGAAAUUCCUUUGUCACCAGACAUCUGGGGGAAGAAACAACACCUGCUGGGCUGCAGACUACACUUUUAGGGGUCAGUGGGUGAACUCCUUCCUCUGAAGCGCAUCACAUUUUGAUCCAAAACAAAGCAACCAGACCAAAUUGA